GGGUUUGAAUAGUGCCCAGGAUAGAUCACUAGAUUACUCAAACAUGCAGAAAUGUUCAUCUUUAUGUUAAUAUUGCAUUCAGACUAAACAGUUUAUUACCUUUGGUCGUGGUGGUGGUGGGAGUCGUGGUGGUGGUGGUGGUGGGAGUGGUGGUUUUGGUGGGAGGUGUGGUGGUGGUGGGAGUCGUGGUGGUGGUGGUGGUGGUGGUUUUGGUGGGAGGUGUGGUGGUGGUGGGAGUGGUGGUGGUGGUGGUGGGAGUCGUGGUAGUGGUGGUGGGAGUCGUGGUGGUGGUGGGAGUGGUGGAGGGAGUGGUGGUUUUGGUGGGAGGUGUGGUGGUGGUGGUGGGAGUGAUGGUAGUGGUGGUGGGAGUCGUGGUGGUGGUGGGAGUGGUGGUUUUGGUGGGAGGUGUGGUGGUGGUGGGAGUGGUGGUGGUGGUGGUGGGAGUCGUGGUAGUGGUGGUGGGAGUCGUGGUGGUGGUGGGAGUGGUGGAGGGAGUGGUGGUUUUGGUGGGAGGUGUGGUGGUGGUGGGAGUCGUGGUGGUGGUGGUGGUGGGAGUGAUGGUAGUGGUGGUGGGAGUCGUGGUGGUGGUGGGAGUGGUGGUUUUGGUGGGAGGUGUGGUGGUGGUGGGAGUGGUGGUGGGAGUCGUGGUAGUGGUGGUGGGAGUCGUGGUGGUGGUGGGAGUGGUGGUGGGAGUGGUGGUUUUGGUGGGAGGUGUGGUGGUGGUGGUGGUGGUGGGAGUGAUGGUGGUGGUGGGAGUGGUGGUCGUGGUGGUGGGAGUCGUGGUGGUGGUGGUGGGAGUGGUGGUAGUGGUGGUGGUGAUGGGAGUGGUGGUGGUGGUGGUGGUGGUGGGAGUCGUGGUGGUGGAGGUGGUGGUGGGAGUCAUGGUGGUGGAGGUGGUGGUGGGAGUCGUGGUGGAGGUGGUGGUGGGAGUCGUGGUGGUGGAGGUGGUGGUGGGAGUCGUGGUGGAGGUGGUGGUGGGAGUCGUGGUGGUGGAGGUGGUGGUGGUACCU
ensembl:lncRNA